rnacentral:misc_RNA from 1 species
GCCAAAAGGCAAUGAAUGGCACAUCUUCUUGCAACACCUCUCCCCAAUAAGCGAAUGCCGAAUGCCCCCCCCUUAUCUUCCUCUGCUAAACCCCAAAAUGCAACCAAAACUAACCAAAAACUUGGGAUUUUAGUCCUUGUUUCCUUAUCCCUUUACUUCUCUCUCUCUCAAAUGGCUUCCAUUUCUCUACCCAAUCACUCUUUACCCUCUCUGCUUCCUUCUCAGAAACCCACAACCCAAUUUUAUACUUCUCAAAACCUCUCAAUUCUCUCCAAAUCAUCACAGUCUCAAUUUUAUGGCCUUAAGGUUUCUCAUUCUGCUUCUCUUUCAAUCCCAUCCUCUUCUUCUGCCAAGACUACCAUUGUCGCUAAGGUAAACAAAGGGCAGGUGCCACCACCCUUCACAUUGAAAGAUCAGGAUGGGAAGAACGUGAACCUUUCCAAAUUCAAAGGGAAGCCUGUGGUUGUCUAUUUCUACCCUGCUGAUGAGACCCCUGGCUGCACCAAACAGGUAUUUCUCUGUUGCUUGCCUUAAAGCUUUUGCUUUAAUCUUAGGAGAAGCAGGGAUUCUGUAAUAAUGUAGGCUAGUCAUUAUGAUAUAAAUGUACAAACUUCAUGUACAAUAUGAAUUUCAUGUCUUGGAAAAAUUAAAAAAAAAUAAUGGAAAUAACAAAUUAUUCUUAUAAAUACAACAUGGGUUGACGCCUCCAUCAAGAAAAGGCAUCUUUCCACGUAAUGCAGAUACUAAAAUGGAGAUAUCUUUGCAGGCCUGUGCUUUCAGGGAUUCUUAUGAGAAGUUUAAGAAAGCAGGAGCUGAGGUUGUUGGAAUCAGUGGUGAUGAUCCAUCAUCGCACAAGGUAACAGAAGAACAUCUUUUUCUUUCCUGGAGCAAGCUUAAUGUUAAAAAGUUUCUAUUUUUACAAUUUUAGUUGGAUAUUAAUAACUCUUAAGAAUGAGAUAACAACUACCUUUACCAGCUUUAGUUUUUGUAACCAUUCCUAAACUCUUAUCCUAGCAUUCUCCUAAUAGUAGUGAAGUCCCGAACUGAGCUAAAGCUAGUUAAUUUACACACCUAAAAAUAUUUUGAAUGAAUUUUGUUUGCAUCAGUUAUGCCCACAAAAUUAGAUUCCUUAUUGUUAACAUUCACUCAUUAAUUAAUCUCAUUCAGACUCCUAUCAAUGUUUGUGUUUGACCAGGCAAAAAGCCCAAAUUAGCUAUGCAUAUAUGUUAUCCAUGGUUAUUUGCAGUCACAUGUCCCCUUUCUUUUUAUGCCGGUUCUGUUAUCUUGCAAUCCAUAACAAAUGCCACAGCCUACAAGAGAUGAGAGCGCAAUUGAACUAACAUUUGCGUUGAUCUGAGUCUAAAGCCUAAAGCAUCAAGCUUAUGCCUUUUCAUAUCACAGAAUGGAAGUAAUCUUACCAAUAUUACUCCACAAUUAAUAUUUUAGUUAGUUUUUGCUUUAUAAGACAAUCAGCAUUUGCCAAGUAUAAAGCUUACAAUUUAGCUUUACAACAUACUUUAACAGUUGAGCAGACCUUUAUUUUUUUCUUCUCAUAACUAAUACCAAUCAUGCUAGAAGUUGAAGGAAAAAACUUGAAAUGGUUGUAGGCAUUUGCAAAAAAAUACAGACUUCCAUUUACAUUGUUGAGCGAUGAAGGAAACAAAAUAAGAAAAGAGUGGGGCGUUCCAGCUGAUCUAUUUGGAGCAUUGCCUGGGAGACAGACAUAUGUUCUUGACAAGAAAGGUGUGGUUCAACUCAUCUACAACAACCAGUUCCAACCUGAAAAGCAUAUUGAUGAAACCCUGAAACUACUUCAAAGCCUUUGAACCCUUCAUUCUAUGAUCUGUAUUGCUUUUAUCUUACCUUUUCCCCUUUAAUCUGUUCUUUUGGAGUUAACAUUAUUGUUGUAUUGAUCAAGUCUUUGUAGCUAGUUACUAGCCAGUUGGUUAUAUCCAUUAUUCAUGCAUAUAUAUGUAUAUGCAUUCAUAAGGUAUGAAGUGCGAUUUCUCAUUAAAGGUGAAAACAUCAAUUUAUGGACCGAAAAGAGAUGAGCACUUUUUUGUUCUCGAAGAUAAAGUAUUAUAGAUAAACACUUGUUUUAGCCUAGUAAAAUGGAGAAAUAAUAUGUUUGCUUGAGAAAAUGGGCCAACCUUGUAAAGUUCAAAGGGGUAUCAUGCGAUGGACUAUUGCUGCUUAGGCCCUUACCUGGCAACUGCAGAGGAUUAUUGUUGUGGAUGUGCAUAAUCAAAUGGUUUGUGUUCUAGAAUUAGCAAUCCCUCAUCUUAUAGGUGGUUGAUCUCUGCCCUUAGGUGAAAUGCUAAUAUCUAAUUAACACACCAGCAAAUAGACAUACAGUAAAUUGCCAUAUGAUAGAUUUCUUGGUAACUUACAGCACAAUAUUUUUAAUCCCUUUUAUCGGGUGAUAAAUGGCAAUUUAUUUGCAUAGAUCUCAGAUGCUCGUAUACAUACGAUAAGUUCAUUAUUUUUCAGUUGCUGUUUCCUUCUUUUGCUUAAGGACCCACCUAAAUUUAAAUACAUAAGAGCACUAAUGUGCUUAUUAAUUAUUAUAUCUAGAAAUAAAGAAUGACAUAUUAAUGUGAUUGUAAUUUAUUCCAGCUUCUCAUAGUCCUGACUGCCAUAAGGGCUAAAUGCUUCGGCUAGCAAGUUCUUCUUCCUCCAGGAACAACACCCCAUUUCUUUACAGAUUUCAUCACUGUGGUUGAUGCUAAAAGUGGAAAUGCAAUGCCUUUUAUAGAAUCUGGUUGACCUCUUCAUAAUUUCAAUCUCCUUGGACACUUGGUCAAGCAUCUUUUCCACAGUUGGGAGCUUAAAUUUAUUGUCAACGAGUCUUGCCAACCACAUGCUACGCAGCUCUGCAGUGUGAAGGUUUGCAACACUUUCUAUGUAACCCACAAAAGCCAUGUUUGGAAUCAGGGGAUGAAUGGUUCCCCUGCAAGAAGAACAAUUAAGAUUAUCACUAUCCAAACUUUUUUGGUGAAACUUAUUUGUGAUGAAGGAGAGAUUACUAUCAUAUAAAGGAUUACCUGUAUAAGGGCAUGACACCAUAAGGGUACUCUAAUAAACUAUAAAAAGGCUUUGGUAAGAUAUUUUUG